rnacentral:tRNA from 1 species
GGACAGUAGCAGAGUGGUUUGCUUGUGUGUUGGUGACCAGGGGGUCUUGGGUUCGAAUCCCACCCCA